AGCAGCCGCGGUAAUUCCAGCUCCAAUAGCGUAUAUUAAAGUUGUUGCAGUUAAAAAGCUCGUAGUUGAACUUCGGGGUUUACCCAUUGGUCAGGCUUAAUUGUCUGUACUGGUGAGAUAAAUCUCUACCUUCUGAGGAACUUUCAUGCCAUUUAUUUGGUGUGAUUGGAAAUCAGGACUAUUACUUUGAAAAAUUAGAGUGUUUAAAGCAGGCUAACGUCUGAAUAUAUUAGCAUGGAAUAAUGAAAUAGGACGGCUUGGUUCUAUUUCGUUGGUUUCUAGGAUCACCGUAAUGAUUAAUAGGGAUAGUUGGGGGCAUUAGUAUUCAAUUGUCAGAGGUGAAAUUCUUGGAUUUAUUGAAGACUAACUACUGCGAAAGCAUUUGCCAAGGAUGUUUUCAUUAAUCAAGAACGAAAGUUAGGGGAUCGAAGACGAUCAGAUACCGUCGUAGUCUUAACCAUAAACUAUGCCGACUAGGGGUCGGACGAAGUUAAUUUUAUAAUGACGCGUUCGGCACCUU
rnacentral:rRNA from 1 species